GAAGGUGGGGAUGACGUCAAGUCCUCAUGGCCCUUACGGGCUGGGCUACACACGUGCUACAAUGGUGGUGACAGUGGGCAGCGAGACAGCGAUGUCGAGCUAAUCUCCAAAAGCCAUCUCAGUUCGGAUUGCACUCUGCAACUCGAGUGCAUGAAGUCGGAAUCGCUAGUAAUCGCGGAACAGCAUGCCGCGGUGAAUACGUUCCCGGGCCUUGUACACACCGCCCGUCACACCAUGGGAGUUGGAUCUACCCGAAGAUUGUGAGCUAACUUCGGAGGCAGCAAGCCACGGUAGGUUCAGCGACUGGGGUGAAGUCGUAACAAGGUAGCCGUAGGGGAACCUGCGGCUGGAUCACCUCCUU
rnacentral:rRNA from 13 species